CCAUUUUCCUGCCGCCGGAAGAGCGAAGACGGAGUUGAGAGAUGGGGGAAAAGUCCCAGUGAUAUCCAUCCACACCGGAAGAGACCGCCCACGCGACUUCCCAGAAACACGAGCCGAUACCCCUCCUUUUGGGCCACUCUAGCCGCGGGGCGCGGCGAAGCUCCUCCACAGAGCCCGAUAACCAGCCCCCCUGGGAGUGCCCAGACAGAGGGCCGAUUUACAAUGUCAAGUCUAGGGACAGCAUGCCGGGGGCUGAAGGACACGGGUCUCCAGAUGCUUGAAGACUACUGAGGCGAGGGGAAGGGGGACGGUGCCGGGUCACACCUCAGGCAAGCUGUACCUUUGAACAUCAUUCAUCCCCCCCGCGGACAAUCACUUCUAACAUAAUGCCACGCUUACUAACAAAGUCUGUUUCACUUUGAGAUUCGCCUUUUGCUUUUGGAAUCACGUUAGAGGCAUAGGAAAGUCACCAAGGUCGUAGGGAGAGUUCGAGUCUACCCUUCACCCGCUUUCUCCUGAUGACUCACCCACCAAGGCGCAUUUGUCCAAACGGAGAAAUUGAUAUUGGUACAGGACUAUUACCGAGACUCCAGACUUUAUCCCAGUGUCCCUAGUUUUCCCACCAGUGUCCUUUUCCUCUCCCAGGAACCCACCCAGGACACCAAUUACGUUUAGUGGUCCUGUCUCAGGUUCCUCUAGUCCAUGAGAGUUUCCCAGAGCUUCCUUGCUUCUUAUGACCUUGACGAUUUUAAGGAGUAUUUGGUCAGGUGCUUUGUAGAAUGCGUCUGUCUCAGUCUGGGUUUGUCUGGUGAUUUCCUCAUAGUUAAUCGGGGUGCUUGAUUUUGGGGAGAAUUACCACAGAGGCGGGGUAACCCUUCCCAUUACACUGGGUCCUGCUGUUCACACAGCCCAUCACUGAGGAUACUGACCUUUGUCCCUUGGUUAAGGUCUCGUUUGCCAAGCUUCUCCCCCGCAAAUCUGCUUUGCUUCCCCUUUUCCAUAUUCCAUACUUUGAAAGCAAAGGCAAUUAAGUGCAGCCUACACCCAAGGGAGAAGGGGUUAAGCCCCAUCUCCUGGAGGGAAGAGCUUAAUCCCUCCCUCCCUGAGUGUGGACUGGAUUUAUUGCCUCCCUAUCAUCGGCGAAUUCUUCUGUAAGGAAGAUUUAUCUCCUCUUGUCCUAUUUGUUCAAUCAUUUCUUUCUAUCAGUACGGACUCGCGGAUACUUAUUUUCUACUUUGGGCUUUAAUCCAAUAGUGUAUUCCUAAUUUCGUUGCUCAAAUUGUUCCAGGUUGGCCACUGGGAGUUCUUUUGGAUUGGCUCUAAAAAGGGACAUUUGGUGAGUUACUUCAAAUCCCACCUCUGCCGUGGGUAUUCCCGAAGGAAGAUACAGUUCUGAUAUUAACAAGCGUCCUCUAGAAUGUCGAUAAGACUAAUUAAGCUAAUAAAAUGGCAAUCAAACCGUA